rnacentral:rRNA from 1 species
CCUACGGGAGGCAGCAGUGGGGAAUUUUGGACAAUGGGGGCAACCCUGAUCCAGCCAUGCCGCGUGAGUGAAGAAGGCCUUCGGGUUGUAAAGCUCUUUCGGACGGAAAGAAAUCGCUUCGGUGAAUAAUCGGAGUGGAUGACGGUACCGUAAGAAGAAGCACCGGCUAACUACGUGCCAGCAGCCGCGGUAAUACGUAGGGUGCGAGCGUUAAUCGGAAUUACUGGGCGUAAAGCGUGCGCAGGCGGCUUUGUAAGACAGGUGUGAAAUCCCCGGGCUUAACCUGGGAAUGGCGCUUGUGACUGCAAGGCUCGAGUGCGGCAGAGGGGGGUGGAAUUCCACGUGUAGCAGUGAAAUGCGUAGAGAUGUGGAGGAACACCGAUGGCGAAGGCAGCCCCCUGGGUCGACACUGACGCUCAUGCACGAAAGCGUGGGGAGCAAACAGGAUUAGAUACCCCUGUAGUC